UUGUCGGUGGAGUUUUACGGUCGCCAUAAAGGCGGAUUGUCCCCCCAUCCGCCAGGUGGCGCGAGUGUCUUCGUGAGGAAGAAAUACUUGCCAUUUUUUUCCAGACGCUGACUUGAAAGGGUCUUCCAAGUUGAUUGGUGUCGAUCUACAUUUUUAGCCAUUAAAUGUAAUUGGCAAUCUGGCAUAUAAUUUCACUUGGCCAAAAUGUGAUGACGUGGGUCGAAACUGCUGUCCAUUUUGUCGAAAUGUCGGCCAUUGUUAGCUCGUCAAUGUGACAACUACAAAUUCCUUUUUAAGAUUUAUCAAGCCAGGUGAAGUCUGCGCUUCUUUGUUGCAGUCUAAUGUGCGCAUGGAUUCCUUGCAGUCAUCCAGUGAAAGGUGUGAUUAAAUUGAGCUGUUGCAUGCAGUCUUUGGUGCUGAUGUUGUCCUGGAGUGUGGGAGAGUCCCAUGCUUCAAGUCUUCUGGGAUCAGCCAUAUCUGAGUUGACGCUGGAUCAUGCUGCAUUGUGGUUGCCGAAAUGUUGGACAUCUAGUAGAACUGCAAGAAGACUCCUUGAAAUG